UCCCAGUGAUGAAUCAUUUAGUAAUCUGAAAUGUUAGAUGAUUGGUGCUCCCUUUUUCCUAAAAGGUUGAGGAACCAUCGCAUUUCACCAUUGUGGAUACUAGGCAUUCUGAGGGAU
rfam:Solanum tuberosum cultivar DM 1-3 516 R44 scf00068_91, whole genome shotgun sequence.